GCGAAACCCAAGCCGGAAAUCAAGUGGUCCAUCAACGGCAAAGAGGUCCUCGGCAUCUACGUCAGAGAAGUGACAGAAGGCCGCUCGACGUUCGGGCUCUUCUCGCCGAUAUCGGAACUCCGGCUGAUUCUGCGCCAGGACCACUUCGCGAACGGCCAGAUCUUGCUCACGUGCUCGUCAACCAUCUCACCCGUCUACCAGGAGCACUCGUACGUCACUCUCACGGGCUUCAAGACGGUGGCACCCUCGCAGAAACUCUACGGGACAGGAUCGGCGCCGGACGUCAGCUUAUCCUUGGUCAUCGCGUCGGUCAUACUCCUGAUGAUGAAGUAGUGAACCCCUGAGGCGGCCUCAUCAAGAUAGGACAUAUCGUUCCAGGACUUCUCCUUCGGCAGGAAAGAUUCACUGUCGAAACGAGGCCAGCUUUUUUUUUUUUUUUUUUUUUUUUUCUUUUCUUUUCCCGAGGCGCUGUGCUUGUCACGCCCUUGCUUCUUUGUACAGACUUUGGCCUAAGGUCUUAUCUCCCCGAGGCUAUGUUGAAACCCCCCGCUGGCAUCCCUCCUUCGUGUGGGUUCCGGAGGCUUCCGAGUUGAGGGAUCGUGGCACUCCUCCCCAGUGUGAGUCCUGGAGGCUGGAGGCUUCCGUGAGAGCGGUCUUGUAUAAUGGAAUAUAGUGUAUUCCGGUUCUACGUUAGGCUUAAAUGUACAUAAAACCGAGACAGAGAGAGAGAAAAAAAAAACAAAAAAAAAACACACAAACACACACGAUAUUUAUAGGACUCAUUAAACUGGCUGAGCUAGGUCGUUCCGUAAGAGGGAAUUAGCUGUUCCAAAUGAAUGAUCUUGCGUCACUAAUGAAAACAGAUCCCUUGGCCUUCUAGCAAGAGCGCCGGCGUCCUGGUGACAUGACCAUGACAUGACCAUGACAUGCGUUCAGACGAAUAUGCUCAAUUCUUCUCUCUCUUGCUGUCUACCACUUUCCGAGGCUGAACAGACCAGGCAAGCAGGGAAUAGGCUAGGGGAGGGGGAGGAGGAGGGGGGAGGGGGAGGGGGGAGGAGGCUAUACAUAGCUUUCUGGAAAUGGUUAAGGGUGUUGCGGACGCUUGUAUACGGCAUCCACUAUGACAGAACUACUAAAGGAGUCGGGUAAAUGGUCGUUACGGUGGUCGAAUAACUCCGGCGUUAAGUUCUAACACUUACUGGGUC
rnacentral:lncRNA from 1 species